rnacentral:rRNA from 1 species
UUGGAGAAGUGGCAAGUCUUCCAGUAUGGGGAGCAAAACAGCUAUGGGUCAAGUCCGAGAUCUUUAGGAGAAGUCUUAUUGUGAGGGCGAGUUAUAUAACACCAUAGGACUGGCCGUCCCAUAUGAAAAGAUUAUAUUAGAAUUGAAUGAAGCUUUGUUUAUAUAUUGAUAAUGACAGUAUAUAUAUCGUGUCUUGACUAAUUGCGUGCCAGCAGUCGCGGUAAUACGUAAGAGACUAGUGUUAUUCAUCUUAAUUAGGUUUAAAGGGUACCCAGACGGUCAAUAUAGCUUAUAAAAUGUUAGUACUUGACUAGAGUUUUAUGUAAGAGGGCAGUACUUGAGGAGGAGAGAUGAAAUUUCGUGAUACCAAAGGGACUCUGUAAAGGCGAAGGCAGCCCUCUAUGUAAAAACUGACGUUGAAGGACGAAGGCACAGAGAACAAACAGGAUUAGAUACCCAAGUAGUCUUUGCAGUAAAUGAUGAAUGCCAUAGGUUAGAUUAAUAGUUAAUGUUUAUAGGCUAAUUAUUGGCUUAGCUUAGCAAACUAAUGCUAUAGACUAGACAUUAAAAAUUAUUUGGUCUAUAAAUGAAAGUGUAAGCAUUUCACCUCAAGAGUAAUGUGGCAACGCAGGAACUGAAAUCACUAGACCGUUUCUGACACCAGUAGUGAAG